UGCAAGGAGGAUGUCUUGGGUUCGAAUCCCAGUGGGUCCAUCUGUCGACUCGUAUAAAUCGAAUCUCUUAAGUAGGGAUUGGUGAUAUAUUCGAGUCCGACCGAAUCGAUGCACCACUCCGUGCAAGCGUGAGUGGGAAGGGUUGAGACGUACCUCGUGACACUCGGGUGCGUCCAUGAGACUGUGUGUACGUGCGAUCCAGGCGUCCACUGGACCCGUUCAGCGGGUUCAUGGAUUCUGAUUAGAAGACCGUGGCU
rnacentral:misc_RNA from 1 species